rnacentral:rRNA from 1 species
UACGGAGGGAGCUAGCGUUAUUCGGAAUUACUGGGCGUAAAGCGCACGUAGGCGGCUUUGUAAGUUCGAGGUGAAAGCCUGGAGCUCAACUCCAGAAUUGCCUUUAAGACUGCAUCGCUUGAAUCCAGGAGAGGUGAGUGGAAUUCCGAGUGUAGAGGUGAAAUUCGUAGAUAUUCGGAAGAACACCAGUGGCGAAGGCGGCUCACUGGACUGGUAUUGACGCUGAGGUGCGAAAGCGUGGGGAGCAAACAGG